UGGGCACAGUCAAAUAUUUAUAAAAUUGGUGCAUGAGUCAAGAUGAAAUUGACCACUCUAAAGGACUGGAGAGAAUGCUUUGUAUUUCAAUUUAGUAAGACUUUAGCCAGGGCAAUCCUUGUGAGAAGUCAUAAGAUUUAUUAGGUUGAAACUCAUAAUGGAUGUACUGUAAAGAGUUGACAGUUUGAACUCUAAGUCAUCCUAGCAUCAAGGGUCAAAGGGAUGAAUUAUAUUGUAACUAUAUCUAGGUAGGUUCUUAAGUGUUGCUUUGUAUACAUUCAGCCUAUUCGGAUGUCAGGUACCAUUGCUAGAUGAUUACUCUGAUUAGUAUAGAAUUUAUUCCUAUGCUAUCGACUUAGGUUCGAAUCUAUGGGAUCACACACAUUAGAAGUUUCUCUCCGAUCGAAUGGAUGAUCUAAAGAAUCCCACAGGAUUGGGACUCUAGUGAAGAGUCCUACUGGGUGGGGACUCUGGUGAAGAGUCCCAUUGGAUCGGGACUCUAUCAUUAAUAGAUGAUUAAUUAGUGAUUAGAUCACUAAUUAGCUCAAUUUGAUUGAGCAUCAAAGUCUGGAUCAAAUCUAAUUGAAUUGGAUUCAAUCAGGUCGGGUCUGAUUAGGUUAUAAGAUGACCUAAUCAGUAAGAGAGAAUUGAUCCUGAUUUGAUCGAAUCUAUGACUUAAUUAAUUUACUGAUUUGAUCAGAUUUAAUUGAGGUUAUGGGAGCCUAAUUAUAUUAUAUUCAUCAUAUUUUAUUUGAAUUUAAUUAGAUUGGAUUUGAAAGAAACCCAAUUAGUUAAAUCCUAGAGUCCUAGAUGAAUGGGACUCUCUCCCUUGCACCACCCA
rnacentral:lncRNA from 1 species